rnacentral:rRNA from 1 species
GAAGAACGCUAGCGGCAGGCCUUAUACAUGCAAGUCGAGGGGCAGCAUUUACUUCGGUAAAUGGCGACCGGCGCACGGGUGAGUAACGCGUAUGCAACCUACCUUUAACUGGGGCAUAGCUCGAGGAAACUCGAAUUAAUUCCCCAUAGUACAUUCUAUUAUCUCAUGAUAUAAAUGUUAAAGAUUUAUCGGUUAAAGAUGGACAUGCGUCUGAUUAGUUUGUUGGUAAGGUAACGGCUUACCAAGACUACGAUCAGUAGGGGGUCUGAGAGGAUGAUCCCCCACACUGGUACUGAGACACGGACCAGACUCCUACGGGAGGCAGCAGUAAGGAAUAUUGGGCAAUGGGCGCAAGCCUGACCCAGCCAUGCCGCGUGCAGGAUGUCGACCUAUGGGUUGUAAACUGCUUUUAUAUAGGAAGAAAACACCUUGCGAGAGAAACUGACGGUACUAUAUGAAAUAAGGACCGGCUAACUCCGUGCCAGCAGCCGCGGUAAUACGGAGGGUUCAAGCGUUAUCCGGAUUUAUUGGGUUUAAAGAGAGUGUAGGUGGUGUUAUAAGUCAGUUGUGAAAUCCUACUGCUCAACUACAGCUCGUACUGUAGAACUGGCAUUCUUGAGUACUUUGGAGGUAAGUGGAAUUUUAUGUGUAGCGGUGAAAUGCAUAGAUAUCAUAAGGAACACCAAUAGCGAAGGCAGCUUACUGGACCAUAACUGACACUGAGGCACGAAAGCGUGGGUAGCGAACAGGAUUAGAUACCCUGGUAGUCCACGCCGUAAACGAUGCUACCACUCCGAAUGUUAAGCGAUAUACUGUUAGCGUCCAAGCUAAAGCGUUAAGUGAGCCACCUGGGG